GGGCUGGGAUCCCCUCCUUUCUACGAGAAAGGUCACACGGCCACUCUCGCUCACUCGAUGAGCGACACGGUCGUGCCAAUUCACGGAUCGAUGCCUCCGGGCAUCAUCUGCAUGGGACCGUUGGUCCCGGCGCCCGCUCGCGUGUGCUCGUCACACGUCAGUCGGCGCCACCCCGCUUCCUCCUGCGUCCUUCCGUUCCCCCAACCGCGUGUCGGGGGUAUAGCUCAGUUGGCUAGAGCACUAGAUUUGCAUUCUAGGGGUCAAGGGUUCGAGUCCCUUUACCUCCAGCAUCGAGCCGCUGGUAUCGGGUUGCCGUUGUAAAGGGACUCGAAACGAGCGAGCGCGCACCUUUUUAAUUUGGAUUAGACGCCGUUCGCGGCGUGAAAUACGAGCGCACAUCCGUUGUGCGCGAUUGGUCUUUGACACACAUAGGGAUGGGAAGAAGAGAGAAACGAGCGAUGCAGUGGUGUAUCGGCACGGGAGCGUGUCGGUGCACUGGAAUCGGGCCGCGGCGCUGAGGCGGUGUGGUCCGAGGCGAGUUGGCUGUGCGCGACCUGGAGACGGGGAGUGAGCAGCGAACAGAGAGCGUCGUGAGAUACUCAUAUGGUCAAGCGAACAAGGGUCUACAGUGGAUGCCUUGGAGCCACCUGGCGAAGAAGGCCGUGGUAAGCUGCGAAAAGCGACGGGGAGGAGCACACAUCCUGCGAUCCGUCGAUUG
rnacentral:misc_RNA from 1 species